UGGCUCAGGACGAACGCUGGCGGCGUGCCUAAUACAUGCAAGUCGAGCGGACAGAAGGGAGCUUGCUCCCGGAUGUUAGCGGCGGACGGGUGAGUAACACGUGGGUAACCUGCCUGUAAGACUGGGAUAACUCCGGGAAACCGGAGCUAAUACCGGAUAGUUCCUUGAACCGCAAGGUUCAAGGAUGAAAGACGGUUUCGGCUGUCACUUACAGAUGGACCCGCGGCGCAUUAGCUAGUUGGUGAGGUAACGGCUCACCAAGGCGACGAUGCGUAGCCGACCUGAGAGGGUGAUCGGCCACACUGGGACUGAGACACGGCCCAGACUCCUACGGGAGGCAGCAGUAGGGAAUCUUCCGCAAUGGACGAAAGUCUGACGGAGCAACGCCGCGUGAGUGAUGAAGGUUUUCGGAUCGUAAAG
rnacentral:rRNA from 1 species